CCUACGGGUGGCAGCAGUGGGGAAUAUUGGACAAUGGGGGAAACCCUGAUCCAGCGACGCCGCGUGAGUGAAGAAGUAUUUCGGUACGUAAAGCUCUAUCAGCAGGAAAGAAAAUGACGGUACCUGACUAAGAAGCCCCGGCUAACUACGUGCCAGCAGCCGCGGUAAUACGUAGGGGGCAAGCGUUAUCCGGAUUUACUGGGUGUAAAGGGAGCGUAGGCGGGACGGCAAGUCAGAUGUGAAAACUGAGGGCUCAACUUUCAGACUGCAUUUGAAACUGCUGUUCUUGAGUGAAGUAGAGGUAAGCGGAAUUCCUAGUGUAGCGGUGAAAUGCGUAGAUAUUAGGAGGAACAUCGGUGGCGAAGGCGGCUUACUGGGCUUUUACUGACGCUGAGGCUCGAAAGCGUGGGGAGCAAACAGGAUUAGAUACCCUUGUAGUC
rnacentral:rRNA from 1 species